AUUGAACGCUGGCGGAAUGCUUUACACAUGCAAGUCGAACGGCAGCACGGGUGCUUGCACCUGGUGGCGAGUGGCGAACGGGUGAGUAAUAUAUCGGAACGUAUCCAAUAAUGGGGGAUAACUAGCCGAAAGGUUAGCUAAUACCGCAUACGCCCUGAGGGGGAAAGGUGGGGAUCGUAAGACCUAGCGUUGAUGGAGCGGCCGAUAUCUGAUUAGCUAGUUGGUGGGGUAAGAGCCUACCAAGGCGACGAUCAGUAGCUGGUCUGAGAGGACGACCAGCCACACUGGAACUGAGACACGGUCCAGACUCCUACGGGAGGCAGCAGUGGGGAAUUUUGGACAAUGGGGGCAACCCUGAUCCAGCCAUUCCGCGUGAGUGAAGAAGGCCUUCGGGUUGUAAAGCUCUCUCGCAAGGGAAGAAAACUCGAUCUCUAAUAUAGGUUGAGGCUGACGGUACCUUGAUAAGAAGCACCGGCUAACUACGUGCCAGCAGCCGCGGUAA
rnacentral:rRNA from 1 species